UACGUAGGGUGCAAGCGUUAAUCGGAAUUACUGGGCGUAAAGCGUGCGCAGGCGGUUUUGUAAGUCUGUCGUGAAAUCCCCGGGCUUAACCUGGGAAUGGCGAUGGAGACUGCAAGGCUAGAAUCUGGCAGAGGGGGGUAGAAUUCCACGUGUAGCAGUGAAAUGCGUAGAGAUGUGGAGGAACACCGAUGGCGAAGGCAGCCCCCUGGGUCAAGAUUGACGCCCAUGCACGAAAGCGUGGGGAGCAAACAGG
rnacentral:rRNA from 1 species